GACAGAGGGGGCAAGCGUUGCUCGGAAUCACUGGGCGUAAAGGGCGCGUAGGCGGGAUGGCAAGUCAGUCGUGAAAUCUCUCGGCUCAACCGAGAAACGUCGGCUGAUACUGCCGUUCUUGAGGGAUGCAGAGGAGACUGGAAUUCCCGGUGUAGCGGUGAAAUGUGUAGAGAUCGGGAGGAACACCGGUGGCGAAGGCGGGUCUCUGGACAGUUCCUGACGCUGAGGCACGAAGGCCAGGGGAGCAAACGGG
rnacentral:rRNA from 1 species